rnacentral:rRNA from 1 species
GUACACGCUGUGACUAGCAUAUCAAUAAGCGGAGGAAAAGAAACUAACAAGAAUUCCCCUAGUAACGGCGAGUGAAGCGGGAAGAGCUCAAAUUUGAAAUCUUAAAGGGUUUCCCUUUACGAAUUGUAGUUUAAAGAAGUGUUUUCUGUUGAGGUUUUGGUAAAAGUUCUUUGGAAUAGGACAUCAUAGAGGGUGAGAAUCCCGUAUUUGACCUUUACUUUCAACUUUGUGAUACACUUUCAAAGAGUCGGAUUGUUUGGGAAUGCAGUCCAAAAUGGGUGGUAAAUUUCAUCUAAAGCUAAAUAUUGGCGAGAGACCGAUAGCGAACAAGUACCGUGAGGGAAAGAUGAAAAGAACUUUGAAAAGAGAGUUAAACAGUACGUGAAAUUGUCAAAAGGGAAGCGUUUGACACCAGUGUUGUUUUUCUGAAAAUCAAUUAAAGAACUGUUUAUGCUAAGCUGUUUAGACUUUAUCAGCUAUCUGUUUAGUUUUAGGCUUUUCUUUAAUGCACUUUUCAGUUAACAAGUCAACAUCAAUUUCUUUUGCUGUAAAAAAGCUUGAGGAAGGUGGCUUGAGAUUCGUCUUAAGUGUUUAUAGCCUCUUGCCUAUGCAGUCGGAGAGAUUGAGGUCUGCAGCGUAGAUCCUUCGGGGCUAAAUGCAUUUGUGCUAAGUUAUAGCAUUUCUAUAGACAACUUGUUGACUAUGAUUAGUCUUGUAGCUUACUCGCUUAUGCUAUUUUACCUACGCUUAGGAUGUUGAACUACUGAGACAUAGA